rnacentral:rRNA from 1 species
GAUGAACGCUGGCGGCGUGCCUAAUACAUGCAAGUCGAGCGAACACAUGAGGAGCUUGCUCCUCUGACGUUAGCGGCGGACGGGUGAGUAACACGUGGAUAACCUACCUAUAAGACUGGGAUAACUUCGGGAAACCGGAGCUAAUACCGGAUAAUAUAUUGAACCGCAUGGUUCAAUAGUGAAAGACGGUUUUGCUGUCACUUAUAGAUGGAUCCGCGCCGCAUUAGCUAGUUGGUAAGGUAACGGCUUACCAAGGCAACGAUGCGUAGCCGACCUGAGAGGGUGAUCGGCCACACUGGAACGGAGACACGGUCCAGACUCCUACGGGAGGCAGCAGUAGGGAAUCUUCCGCAAUGGGCGAAAGCCUGACGGAGCAACGCCGCGUGAGUGAUGAAGGUCUUCGGAUCGUAAAACUCUGUUAUUAGGGAAGAACAAAUGUGUAAGUAACUAUGCACGUCUUGACGGUACCUAAUCAGAAAGCCACGGCUAACUACGUG